UAUUCAGUUGCAGAUCGCAGAUAUAUUCAAGACAUCCCAUUCUUUUACCAGAUUAUCGGAAACCAACCUAACAACCAAAAUGUCCAAGGCUCUGUUCUUCGUCCUCGCUUGUGCCCUCAUCGUCGCCGCCCUUGCUGAAUUUGAAAACGACGAUGAGACCGCUGCUGAUGUCGAGUUCAUGAAGAGGGACGCUGACAUGUUGGAGUACUUCGAGACUGAGAAGAGGGGACUGGGAAGGAACAUGAAGAAGUACAAGUCCUGUCAGUAUUACGGCAUGGACUGCUGGUGCAGCAGGCGUACCCAGAAAAUUGUCUUCUGCAGCGGUGCCGGAAACGGAGAUAACAUGUAAACCCAUACUCUCUCUGGCUGCAUCCGUUGACCAAUCCUAGAUCAGAACAGAAUGACAUAUGGACAGUCUCGACCAAUGAUAUUCCCCUCUAAGAUUAUUAUGAUCGUCAUAAUAUUUCCAUUGCCAUCAAGUUGAACUCAGAGGGCUUCCAACACUCAGUGAUAUUGUAAUAAAGAUGUUUUAAACAAA